UAAUACGGAGGGAGCUAGCGUUGUUCGGAAUUACUGGGCGUAAAGCGUACGUAGGCGGAUUGACAAGUUGGGGGUGAAACCCCAGGGCUUAACCCUGGAACUGCCCUCAAAACUAUCGAUCUAGAGACCGGGAGAGGUAAGCGGAAUUCCUAGUGUAGAGGUGAAAUUCGUAGAUAUUAGGAGGAACACCAGUGGCGAAGGCGGCUUACUGGACCGGUACUGACGCUAAGGUACGAAAGCGUGGGGAGCAAACAGGAUUAGAUACCCUGGUAGUCCACGCCGUAAACGAUGGGUGCUAGAUGUUGGGGCUUUAAGCUUCAGUGUCGCAGCUAACGCAUUAAGCACCCCGCCUGGGGAGUACGGUCGCAAGAUUA
rnacentral:rRNA from 1 species